rnacentral:rRNA from 1 species
CCUGACUGCUAUCGGAUUGAUACUAAGCCAUGCGAGUCAUUGUAGCAAUACAAGGCAGACGGCUCAGUAACGCGUAGUCAACCUACCCUAUGGACGGGAAUAACCUCGGGAAACUGAGUAUAAUGCCCGAUAGAGCAUUAUGCCUGGAAUGGUUUAUGUUCCAAAUGAUUUAUCGCCAUAGGAUGGGACUGCGGCCUAUCAGUUUGUUGGUGAGGUAAUGGCCCACCAAGACUAUUACAGGUACGGGCUCUGAGAGGAGUAGCCCGGAGAUGGGUACUGAGACACGGACCCAGGCCCUAUGGGGCGCAGCAGGCGAGAAAACUUUGCAAUGUGCGAAAGCACGACAAGGUUAAUCCGAGUGGUUUCUGCUAAAGGAACCUUUUGUUAGUCCUAAAAACACUAACGAAUAAGGGGUGGGCAAGUUCUGGUGUCAGCCGCCGCGGUAAAACCAGCACCUCAAGUGGUCAGGAUGAUUAUUGGGCCUAAAGCAUCCGUAGCCUGCUCUGUAAGUUUUCGGUUAAAUCUGUAUGCUCAACAUACAGGCCGCCGGGAAUACUGCAGAGCUAGGGAGUGGGAGAGGUAGACGGUACUCGGGAGGAAGUGGUAAAAUGCUUUGAUCUCUCGAUGACCACCUGUGGCGAAGGCGGUCUACCAGAACACGUCCGACGGUGAGGGAUGAAAGCUGGGGGAGCAAACCGGAUUAGAUACCCGGGUAGUCCCAGCUGUAAACGAUGCAGACUCGAUGAUGCAAUGGCAUAGAGCUAUUGCAGUAUCGCAGGGAAGCCGUUAAGUCUGCCGCCUGGGAAGUACGUACGCAAGUAUGAAACUUAAAGGAAUUGGCGGGGGAGCACCACAAGGGUGAAGCCUGCGGUUC